rnacentral:rRNA from 1 species
GAUGAACGCUGGCGGCGUGCCUAAUACAUGCAAGUCGAGCGAACAGACGAGGAGCUUGCUCCUUCGACGUUAGCGGCGGACGGGCGAGUAACACGUAGGUAACCUACCUAUAAGACUGGGAUAACUUCGGGAAACCGGAGCUAAUACCGGAUAAUAUUUCGAACCGCAUGGUUCGAUAGUGAAAGAUGGCUUUGCUAUCACUUAUAGAUGGACCUGCGCCGUAUUAGCUAGUUGGUAAGGUAACGGCUUACCAAGGCAACGAUACGUAGCCGACCUGAGAGGGUGAUCGGCCACACUGGAACUGAGACACGGUCCAGACUCCUACGGGAGGCAGCAGUAGGGAAUCUUCCGCAAUGGGCGAAAGCCUGACGGAGCAACGCCGCGUGAGUGAUGAAGGUCUUCGGAUCGUAAAACUCUGUUAUUAGGGAAGAACAAACGUGUAAGUAACUGUGCACGUCUUGACGGUACCUAAUCAGAAAGCCACGGCUAACUACGUG